rnacentral:rRNA from 1 species
UCAUAGCGACUAUCGUGGCAUAUCAAUAAGCGGAGGAAAAGAAACUAACAAGGAUUCCCUUAGUAACGGCGAGUGAAGCGGGAAGAGCUCAAAUUUGAAAUCUUCAAGGUUUUACCUUGACGAAUUGUAGUUUAAAGAAGUGUUUUCUGUUGGAGUUUUGGUAAAAGUUCUUUGGAAUAGGACAUCAUAGAGGGUGAGAAUCCCGUAUUUGACCAUUAUUUCCAGCUGUGUGAUACACUUUCAAAGAGUCGGAUUGUUUGGGAAUGCAGUCCAAAAUGGGUGGUAAAUUUCAUCUAAAGCUAAAUAUUGGCGAGAGACCGAUAGCGAACAAGUACCGUGAGGGAAAGAUGAAAAGAACUUUGAAAAGAGAGUUAAACAGUACGUGAAAUUGUCAAAAGGGAAGCGUUUGACACCAGUGUUGUUUUUCCGAAAAUCAAUUACGAAUGUUUUAUUUUUGAGAAGUUAUGACUUCAUCGGCUUGCUUCUCUCUUUAUGAAACUUUCUUAAUGCACUUUUCGGUUAACAAGUCAACAUCAAUUUCUUUUGUUGUAAAAGGGUAUGAGGAAGGUGGCUUUCUUUUCGGAGAAAGUGUUUAUAGCCUUGUACCUCUGCAAUCGGAGAGAUUGAGGUCUGCAGCGUAGAUCCUUCGGGGUUAGAUACAUUUGUGCUAAGUUAUAGCUUUUCAUAGACAACUUGUUGACUAUGUUAAGUCUUGUAGCUUACUCGCUUACUGCUAUUUUACCUACGCUUAGGAUGUUGAUAGUCACAGCGUGUAC